rnacentral:rRNA from 1 species
CGCGUGAGGAACCUGCCUUUCAGUGGGGGACAACAGUUGGAAACGACUGCUAAUACCGCAUGAAGCAUUUAGGGGGCAUCCCCUGAGUGCCAAAGAUUUAUUGCUGAAAGAUGGCCUCGCGUCUGAUUAGCUAGUUGGAGGGGUAACGGCCCACCAAGGCGACGAUCAGUAGCCGGUCUGAGAGGAUGAACGGCCACAUUGGGACUGAGAUACGGCCCAGACUCCUACGGGAGGCAGCAGUGGGGAAUAUUGGGCAAUGGGGGAAACCCUGACCCAGCAACGCCGCGUGAAGGAAGAAGGCUUUCGGGUUGUAAACUUCUUUUACCAGGGACGAAGAAAGUGACGGUACCUGGAGAAAAAGCCACGGCUAACUACGUGCCAGCAGCCGUGGUAAUACGUAGGUGGCAAGCGUUGUCCGGAUUUACUGGGUGUAAAGGGCGUGUAGGCGGAGAUUCAAGUCAGGAGUGAAAACUAUGGGCUUAACCCAUAAACUGCUUUUGAAACUGAAUCCCUUGAGUAUCGGAGAGGCAGGCGGAAUUCCUAGUGUAGCGGUGAAAUGCGUAGAUAUUAGGAGGAACACCAGUGGCGAAGGCGGCCUGCUGGACGACA